rnacentral:lncRNA from 1 species
AUCAUCACCACUAAUAAUAUUACCACCACCAUCUCAUACAAAUUCCAGGAAGCUAACUCCGGCCCCCUCCUGGCACUUACAGAACAUGAGGAGCUGACCAUGAGUCCUUACAACGGCUCAUCAUCCAUUGCCGAUUUGAGGAACAGGCAGGUGCGCCUUAAAAGCGAGGGCGCGGAGGGGGGGGCCUGGCACGCAGGUAGAGCUUCUCUGAGCCUCCCGCCGCUGCCAACACUCCCGCCGCUGCCAAGCACCGUGUUAUUCGUCCCGCGAGCGCAGCGCAUGCACGCGUAUCUGAUCAGCCUUUCCCGUGCGCGAUUGCGGUGGGGACAUUGAACCCCAGCCAGCCGGACAGCCAGCCAGCCAGACUGGCUGAGAGCCCGGUCGCCACAAGACUUCACAGCGAACUCCACUGUCAUAUAAACGCGGCAGCGGCGGCGACAGGUAAGGAAUCCGCCGCGCGCAACCCGCCGUACGCCGCAAUCCAUUUCCUUUUCACAAGCCGGCGCUGGCCGCCACUGACGCCGCUGCGGCGGUCCGCAGAUCGAACAGGGCCUGCAUGGCCUCCAUCUCGCUCGCGCAGUUGCCGCCGCUGUCCUCGCCUUCCGACGUGGCAAGUCCCCAGCGCUCACCCCCAUCCUCAUCCUCCAACUCCUCCCCUGUUUUCCCCCUUCCCGCGCCCACAUCGUGCCCCGUAUCCGCAACGCCAUCAUCAUCCACUUGCCUUGCCGGCGCCGCCAAUCCCCCCAGGGCUCUGGGCGUCUUGCUGCGAGAGCGCAGGGACUGCCGGGUGGGCUCACGGCCUGUUGUGUAUUGAUCCUCGAUCGCAAGACCUGCUCCAUAAUUAUGGUGUUGGCUGUGGUGCUGGUGGUUGCCAGGCAACUGCCCCUCUGCAUACGGCGAUAAGGCCC